rnacentral:tRNA from 1 species
GUCUAGUUAGCUGAAUCGGUAGAGCAUGAGACUGUUAAUCUCAGGGUCAUGGGUUUGAGGCCCCCUUUUUGUGCC